UUGCUGCAGUGAUCUACCUAUGCUCAAUGCUGGCCAGGGACGUGACUCAUCAUCCAUGAGACAGCAAAGGUGAAUCAGCUCGGCAGGAUCACGCUUAAAGGCUAAACCAUAGGAUGGCUGUAUUAAUUCUUUUCUGUGAAAAAAAAGCAUCCAAGUGUUUUACUGACUGAAGAGUGCAGUAGAAUCUGCUAGUUUAACAUCAUUCUCCGAACUAAUGCAGCACAGAUUGGAGUUUCUGGAACAAAGGCCCUCUAUGGACUGAAUGAGCACAACUACUUUGGGGAGUAAAAACUGCUUUACUGAGUCUACUGAUUCAAAUACUAGUUUUAUUCAAACCAGUCCCAGAGGCCAUGGGAAUGGAUCAUGCCCAUUAAUCUGAGCUGUGUCAUGAGCUGCUGAAGGAAUGUGAUGGGUUCAUGCAGACACACAUGGCCCUGGAAGCAGGAGGAGGAGAUGGUCUCCCAGGAUUCUGUCAUUAUGAGGAAGAAAUGGUGAUACCAAGAUGGCCAAACUGACCUAUUCUCCUCACCUCAAUGGCACAAGAAAUCAGUGACUGACAUUUUCUUUAGGAGUCAAAGAAGCCUUCGUGAGUGUAUUCUCCAUGAAAAGGAGAUGUU